rnacentral:rRNA from 1 species
GACGAACGCUGGCGGCGUGCUUAACACAUGCAAGUCGAACGGAAAGGCCCUGCUUUUGUGGGGUGCUCGAGUGGCGAACGGGUGAGUAACACGUGAGUAACCUGCCCUUGACUUUGGGAUAACUUCAGGAAACUGGGGCUAAUACCGGAUAGGAGCUCCUGCUGCAUGGUGGGGGUUGGAAAGUUUCGGCGGUUGGGGAUGGACUCGCGGCUUAUCAGCUUGUUGGUGGGGUAGUGGCUUACCAAGGCUUUGACGGGUAGCCGGCCUGAGAGGGUGACCGGCCACAUUGGGACUGAGAUACGGCCCAGACUCCUACGGGAGGCAGCAGUGGGGAAUAUUGCACAAUGGGCGGAAGCCUGAUGCAGCAACGCCGCGUGCGGGAUGACGGCCUUCGGGUUGUAAACCGCUUUCGCCUGUGACGAAGCGUGAGUGACGGUAAUGGGUAAAGAAGCACCGGCUAACUACGUGCCAGCAGCCGCGGUGAUACGUAGGGUGCGAGCGUUGUCCGGAUUUAUUGGGCGUAAAGGGCUCGUAGGUGGUUGAUCGCGUCGGAAGUGUAAUCUUGGGGCUUAACCCUGAGCGUGCUUUCGAUACGGGUUGACUUGAGGAAGGUAGGGGAGAAUGGAAUUCCUGGUGGAGCGGUGGAAUGCGCAGAUAUCAGGAGGAACACCAGUGGCGAAGGCGGUUCUCUGGGCCUUUCCUGACGCUGAGGAGCGAAAGCGUGGGGAGCGAACAGGCUUAGAUACCCUGGUAGUCCACGCUGUAAACGGUGGGUACUAGGUGUGGGGUCCAUUCCACGGGUUCCGUGCCGUAGCUAACGCUUUAAGUACCCCGCCUGGGGAGUACGGCCGCAAGGCUAAAACUCAAAGGAAUUGACGGGGCCCCGCACAAGCGGCGGAGCAUGCGGAUUAAUUCGAUGCAACGCGUAGAACCUUGCCUGGGUUUGACAUGGAUCGGGAGCGCUCAGAGAUGGGUGUGCCUCUUUUGGGGUCGGUUCACAGGUGGUACAUGGCUGUCGUCAGCUCGUGUCGUGAGAUGUUGGGUUAAGUCCCGCAACGAGCGCAACCCUUGUUCACUGUUGCCAGCACGUUAUGGUGGGGACUCAGUGGAGACCGCCGGGGUCAACUCGGAGGAAGGUGGGGAUGACGUCAAGUCAUCAUGCCCCUUAUGUCCAGGGCUUCACGCAUGCUACAAUGGCUGGUACAGAGAGUGGCGAGCCUGUGAGGGUGAGCGAAUCUCGGAAAGCCGGUCUCAGUUCGGAUUGGGGUCUGCAACUCGACCUCAUGAAGUCGGAGUCGCUAGUAAUCGCAGAUCAGCAACGCUGCGGUGAAUACGUUCCCGGG